AUCCAACUUUUGUUUUUUCAAUAGGACACAUCAAACUUAUUGGGAAUUUCACAAGAAAAGGCUUUAAUUCUCUGGAUAUCAGGAGUGAUGUUGCCUGAAGAGGCCAAGGAUAAAGUAGCCCUCCGUGCUGCCUUGGCACAAACUAUCACACCUCCAAAUGGCCAUUAAAGGGUUACUGGCAUGAUAUUUAUGGGGUACUUUUAUUAUCUAAAUGACACUGUUGUACAUAGCAACUAUUUCCCUCUGCCAUUUAACAUUUUAUUCUUCUGCAUCCAGGAUGCCAAGAUCUUGGUCAGGCCCAGUGUUCAGCAUCACCUGAGGGGACAGUAGGGAGAAAAGAUUCAUUGGCAUCUACUCUCAACCCCCAUUGGGCCACUGUGACCAAAACCUUGCAAAAAAGAAAAAGAAAAACAUAAUUAAGUUGUAGGUUCCACCGCCACGUUCCCCUACCUAAUGCUCAUGGUCUGCUUAUCCGGGGGGUUCUGAGUGGAAUCGAGUUUUACCUGUACCCUGAUCUCAGCAGGCUGAAGGAGCCUCAGGCGUAUAAAGGCUCUUGCAAAAACUGGCUGCACAAUUCCUGGCCCUAUGGAAUGCAAUUUACUGGCCCUACGGAACAGGACUUUCUGGCCCUAUGGAAUGGGACUUACUGGCCCUACGGAACGGGACAUACUGGCCCUAUGGUAU